rnacentral:rRNA from 1 species
CCUACGGGUGGCAGCAGUGAGGAAUAUUGGUCAAUGGGCGCGAGCCUGAACCAGCGAAGUCGCGUGAGGGAAGACGGUCCUCUGGAUUGUAAACCUCUUUUGUCGGGGAGCAAAAGACGCCACGCGUGGCGUUCCGAGCGUACCCGAAGAAAAAGCAUCGGCUAACUCCGGGCCAGCAGCAGCGGUAAUACGGAGGAUGCGAGCGUUGUCCGGAUUUAUUGGGUUAAACGGGUGCGCAGGCGGAAGAUCAAGUCAGCGGUAAAAUUGAGAGGCUCAACCUCUUCGAGCGGUUGAAACUGGUAUUCUUGAGUGAGAGAGAAGUAUGCGGAAUGCGUGGUGUAGCGGUGAAAUGCAUAGAUAUCACGAAGAACUCCGAUUGCGAAGGCAGCAUACCGGCGCUCAACUGACGCUCAUGCACGAAAGUGUGGGUAUCGAACAGGAUUAGAUACCCGGGUAGUC